rnacentral:rRNA from 1 species
UGGGGAAUUUUGGACAAUGGGGGAAACCCUGAUCCAGCCAUCCCGCGUGUGCGAUGAAGGCCUUCGGGUUGUAAAGCACUUUUGGCAGGAAAGAAACGUCAUGGGUUAAUACCCCGUGAAACUGACGGUACCUGCAGAAUAAGCACCGGCUAACUACGUGCCAGCAGCCGCGGUAAUACGUAGGGUGCAAGCGUUAAUCGGAAUUACUGGGCGUAAAGCGUGCGCAGGCGGUUCGGAAAGAAAGAUGUGAAAUCCCAGAGCUCAACUUUGGAACUGCAUUUUUAACUACCGGGCUAGAGUGUGUCAAAGAGGGGUGGAAUUCCGCGUGUAGCAGUGAAAUGCGUAGAUAUGCGGAGGAACACCGAUGGCGAAGGCAGCCUCCUGGGAUAACACUGACGCUCAUGCACGAAAGCGUGGGGAGCAAACAGG